rnacentral:rRNA from 1 species
AGCUUGCUGGGUUGAUUAGUGGCGAACGGGUGAGUAACACGUGAGUAACCUGCCCCUGACUCUGGGAUAAGCGUUGGAAACGACGUCUAAUACUGGAUAUGAUCGCCGGCCGCAUGGUCUGGUGGUGGAAAGAUUUUUUGGUUGGGGAUGGACUCGCGGCCUAUCAGCUUGUUGGUGAGGUAAUGGCUCACCAAGGCGACGACGGGUAGCCGGCCUGAGAGGGUGACCGGCCACACUGGGACUGAGACACGGCCCAGACUCCUACGGGAGGCAGCAGUGGGGAAUAUUGCACAAUGGGCGAAAGCCUGAUGCAGCAACGCCGCGUGAGGGAUGACGGCCUUCGGGUUGUAAACCUCUUUUAGUAGGGAAGAAGCGAAAGUGACGGUACCUGCAGAAAAAGCACCGGCUAACUACGUGCCAGCAGCCGCGGUAAUACGUAGGGUGCAAGCGUUGUCCGGAAUUAUUGGGCGUAAAGAGCUCGUAGGCGGUUUGUCGCGUCUGCUGUGAAAUCCCGAGGCUCAACCUCGGGCUUGCAGUGGGUACGGGCAGACUAGAGUGCGGUAGGGGAGAUUGGAAUUCCUGGUGUAGCGGUGGAAUGCGCAGAUAUCAGGAGGAACACCGAUGGCGAAGGCAGAUCUCUGGGCCGUAACUGACGCUGAGGAGCGAAAGCAUGGGGAGCGAACAGGAUUAGAUACCCUGGUAGUCCAUGCCGUAAACGUUGGGCGCUAGAUGUAGGGACCUUUCCACGGUUUCUGUGUCGUAGCUAACGCAUUAAGCG